CGUGUAGGUGGUUGAGUAUGUUAGGUGUGAAAUCCCUCGGCUUACCCGAGGAACUGCAUCUAAAACUACUUGGCUUGAGUAUUGGAGAGGAAAGUGGAAUUCCUGGUGUAGCGGUGAAAUGCGUAGAUAUCAGGAGGAACGCCGGUUGCGAAAGCUGCUUUCUGGCCAAAUACUGACACUAACAGCGCGAAAGCCAGGGGAGCGAACG
rnacentral:rRNA from 1 species